rnacentral:rRNA from 1 species
AAUGAACGCUGGCGGCAUGCCUAACACAUGCAAGUCGAACGAGCCCUUCGGGUCUAGUGGCGCCCGGGUGCGUAACGCGUGGGAACCUGAACUUAGGUUCGGAAUAACUACCCGAAAGGGGUGAUAAUACCGGAUAAUGUCUACGGACCAAAGAUUUAUCGAAUUUGGAUGGGCCCGCGUUGGAUUAGCUAGUUGGUAGGGUAAAAGCCUACCAAGGCGACGAUCCAUAGCUGGUCUGAGAGGAUGAUCAGCCACACUGAGACUGAGACACGGCCCAGACUCCUACGGGAGGCAGCAGUGGGGAAUAUUGGACAAUGGGCGAAAGCCUGAUCCAGCAAUGCCGCGUGAGUGAUGAAGGCCUUAGGGUUGUAAAGCUCUUUUACCCGGGAUGAUAAUGACAGUACCGGGAGAAUAAGCUCCGGCUAACUCCGUG